GACGAACCGUGCGAACGUUAUUCGGAAUCACUGGGCUUAACCCGGAAAGGUCAGCCGAUACUGCGGGGCUAGAGUGCGGAAGGGGCAACUGGAAUUCUCGGUGUAGCGGUGAAAUGCGUAGAUAUCGAGAGGAACACCUGCGGCGAAGGCGGGUUGCUGGGCCGACACUGACGCUGAGGCGCGAAAGCUAGGGGAGCAAACGGG
rnacentral:rRNA from 1 species